CUUGUCUGUUGAGGAGAUUUACGAGUUCACAUUUUCUACUUUCAUUAUUGCUUUUCACUGGUGAUUGCUAAUGAAGUUAGCACAGGUGGACAAAUCUGCCAAAGUAUGUUUGGCCUUUCAUGGUACCAAGAGGACUAUUUUGAAUACAAAAGAUGCUCCGGUUUUACUAGAUAAUUCUCAUAAUUCUUUGCUCUGUGGUCGCGUUUUCUACAAAAGGAAAUGUUGGAACUGAUGAACCCGGUGGAAAUGACCCCGUGCACGCCCCCGACUCUACUCCAGCCCUUGCAAGGCUUGCAGAUAAGUUCUACGAAGAACGUUUUGAGAGGGUAGUUUCUUUGCCGGCCGAUAAAUCAAUCAUAAGACCAUCAUUAUUACCAUUUUAUAGCAAGAUUCUACAGGAGGAAUCUGAAGUCUCUUGUUACAAAAACUGUAUCGUCAGAAAAGUAACAUUCUUCCGACCGACAGAGGCCGGGGAUUACCAGUUCGGAUUGAGAUGCAACGAAGCAUGUAUUUUGUCAAUAAGCCAGGAGGGAAACUAUACUAACUUGACUACCAUCAACACUGCUAAUUCGACGAAUGGCCAGUCAAUUCAGUGAGUUCUAGUACUACUAUCAUAAUUUUGGAAGUCUUUUCUAUUCGCUUUUGGUUUCUGGGACUUUAGCAUCUGAAUAUUUGUAGUCCAUAGGUGAAAUACAUCGGCUUUAUUCCAUUUUUUGAAACAUGUUGACAUUUUUCGAUAUCAUUUAACCCAUUUUUUUACGCAAACUACCUUGUGCUCAAAUUCUAAAAACCGUUCAUAACGCACAAAUUCACAAAAGGCUUUUAAAAAUGAAAACAUUUGCUUUAAAAAGACUUCAUCCGAAUAUUUCUUAUGACGUAAAACAAAGCCGUU